rnacentral:siRNA from 1 species
GGAACUAGUUGUUGUGGUC